UACGUAGAAGACUAGUGUUAUUCAUCUUUAAUAGGUUUAAAGGGUACCUAGACGGUAUAAUUAGUCUUAAACAGGAUACGAUUAUACUAGAGUUAUAUAUGAGGAGGUGAGUAUUUAUGCAGUAGAGUUGAAAUUCGUUGAUAGCAUAACGACUGGUAACGGCGAAAGCAACCUUUUAUCUAAUAACUGACGUUGAGGGACGAAGGCUUGGGAUAACGAACAGG
rnacentral:rRNA from 1 species